rnacentral:rRNA from 1 species
AAAAUCCAGCCCAAAUUAUUAAACUAUAUUAAACUACAAUAUUAAAAAAACUAAAACAUUUACUACCCGUGAAGUAUAGGCGAUAGAAACAUGAUUUUGGAGCUUUAGAGCCAGUACCGUAAGGGAAAAUUUUAAUAGUUAAAAGUAAAAAAAAGCAAAGAUUACCCCUUUACCUUUGGCAUAAUGAUUAACCAGACCCUGUUAGCAAAGAGAUCUUAAGUUAAUGCCCCCGAAACCAGACGAGCUACUCAAAAACAGCUUUACAGAGCGAACCCGUCUAUGUGGCAAAAUAGUGGGAAGAUUUUUGAGUAGAGGUGAAAGGCCUAUCGAGCCUGGUGAUAGCUGGUUGUCCAGGAGUGAAUCUAAGUUCAAACCUAAGUCUACCCUAAAGAAACGUAACUCAAUUGUAGUCUUAAGUCAUAGUCCAAAAAGGUACAGCUUUUUAGACACAGGAUACAACCUUUAUUAGAGAGUAAGAAAUAGAACUAAUCAUAGUCGGCCUAAAAGCAGCCAUCAAUUAAGAAAGCGUUCAAGCUCAACAAACAAUAACACCCCUAAUUCCCUAAGUCCUAAACGAACUCCUAAUGAAAAACUGGACCAAUCUAUUAAAAAAUAGAAGAGAUACUGUUAAUAUGAGUAACUAGAAAUAAUUCUCCUUGCACACGCAUAUAUCAGAACGAACCUCUCGCUGAUAGUUAACAAACAGCAACCCUACUCUACAUUCAAGCUAUUGCAAUAAAAUUGUUAACCCAACACAGGAGUGCUACUUAAAGGAAAGAUUAAAAGAAGUAAAAGGAACUCGGCAAA